AUCCAGUUGACGAGUCCCAAAUAGGACGAAUUGAUGCGCGUCUAAACUGCAU
rnacentral:hammerhead_ribozyme from 1 species